CUCUGGGGGGUCAGGGCCAGUGGCUAACAAAGCCUCUGGCUGCAUGCCUCUCACUUUUCUCUCUGCAAAGAGUGUCCAAUCAACCCUUCCCCCACCCAGAACUUUCUCUCAGUUCAUCCUCAUAAGGGUGCCGGGCCAGGAAACCCUCAGGCUUCUGCUUCCUUCCCUCCUUGAAGACUCUGCACACCCAGCUGGGCUGGUGGAUGGAAAGCAGCACAUCGCGUGGUGGGCGAGGCCAGAGGGCUGCAGGUGCCGGCAGAGCCCCAGCCCAACAGCAGGACAGAUGUGGGGAGGACUCCAGCCCAACAGCAGGACAGGCGGUGGUGGAUUCAAUCUCUCCACCCUGAAGCCUGCCCACCAUCAGUUCACUGAACUUGCACCGAAGAUGCACGUACCAUUUCCCAGACACCAAGAAGACAGAGCCCACGAUCUGAUGGCUUAGGGACUUCCUCUUGGAGGCUGGCUUCCUAUACGGGGAGUUUCAACAGACAGUGUCUGAUAUGCCAAGAGCUGGGUGUAAGAAGGUGAGAGAGUAGUGUGUCCAGUUUCCCACAAAGGAGGGGUAACUGGAUAAAAGGAAUUGAGUUUUGAGGGAUAAGUCAUCUUGGCCAGAGGAAGAAAAUAAAAGUCAUAUUUUAGACAGAAGGGGCAGCUGAGCAGACGUGUAUGGACAAACACAAGAGCACACUUAUGUUUGGUAAAUAUUCACUACCGUGGAAAGACGUGAGGUGAGGGGAGGUGGGGUGGAAGACAGAGAGUCAGAUGGAGCUUGUGAGAAGGCCGUCUUCAGCCUCUGGGGCUUUGAGCUUCUGUCUGUAGCAGGAGAGAGAGGUCAAAGUGGGAUUACAGUAUAUGCACAUCCAGUCAAGUGAGAAACCCCUUGACCUUUCAGACUAAUGAGACAGUAGUUUCCUUUGUUGGCAUAAGCUAUUCUGAGUUGUCUUCUGUGAUCUGCAACUAACACAAACGGGAAGCCACGGAAGCAUUUGAUGGGGGUAGGGACGUGGUCCCCCUGCAUCUUAGAGCUGUCUUUAGCUGCCGUUGGAGGAUCAGGGAUGGGAGGGGAUGGGGGAUUCAGGACAUGGAGCGGAGAUUACUGCAAUGAGCCCAGUAGAGUAGGCUCUAACAUAGGACAGGAAGAGAGAAAGUUUAGAGAAAGAACAGCCAAAGGUCGAGCCCAAUUAAACAUGGAGGAAGUUUGUUGAGAAUGACCCCGAGUUUCUGAUGUUGGUGAGUAGCAGAGUGAAGGAUCAGCUCUGGGAGAAGGUGGACCUGCUUGGUCUUUAUUAUUUGGAGUUUGAGUUAUUGUUGGAGAUUUAGGGUCGCAAUAAAUAAUAUACCUCUGCUUGAGGGUUCAAUUCAGAGAUAAACCGAGGGUCAGUUAAUUAGAGAGGCAAGUGUGAGAUUUAUUAUUGAAAAGAUCUCUACAGGAAGAUGGAGCUUAGGAGGACGGUUCAUUGGGCCUAUCAGUAUACCCCUCUGCUCUGCAUGGCCUAGAAAAGGUGAGAACUCAGAAACUGUGCAGACACAUCAGCCCUGAAGGAGGACCCAGAAGAGCUGAAGCCCCACGCUGUCUAUUGCUUCUGCCCAAACUCACCCAUCAGGAGUGAGAGAAGAGGACAAGAGAGGUGAGGAGUGGUGUUAUAAAGGCAGUUCUGCCACAGCAGACCCAGGAGUAGGGUGAGUGUUGCUGCCAGGAGACCUCUUACAACCUGUAAGUGAAGCACCCAGCAGGUCCUUCCAAGCCUGUGUCCGAUGUUCACGGGGGAGAUCCCAGGGCAUGAAAGAUGCACACGUGUGUGCUGGAUACACAUGAAAUGAAAUCUCAGGAAGGCAUGGGCUGCCCCAGGGAGAGACUUUGCUUAGGAGACAGCAGUGGCCUGCAGUGGCCCAAGGAUGAUGGAUCCCUAAGUAUCACCACUGAAGAACUCUUUAAUGAGACAAAACAGUGACUUCCAAGGAGAGCUAGCAAAGAGGAGUGUCCCAAAUGCCAAAUGUUAUACUCUGUAAAGAAGUCCAUUAGGAUAUGCAAUGAAAACUGUCCUUAGGUUUCAGCAAUAUGGGCAUCACACAUGAAAUUCAGAGAAAUAGCCAGGGCAGGAUUCCCAUGUUGGUCAGGCUGUAGUAUCGAGGGGGGCUACCUCCUGAUCACUAAGUUGAACAGGGCCAUUUCCUGUUGGGAUCCCAAGUGCAAACGAAGCAGCAUGACUCUGGGUGUUGCCUGCUGAAUUCUCACUAGUGUAGCUCAGAGGGGAGGCUGAGUGUAAUCACCUCAGAGCCCCUAUGUUUUCAGCCAGAGGUUUUCAAUCUGUGCUCCUGGGAACCUUGAGGUUUCAGGGAUCCCUUAGAGCCAGCAAACGGUCGGCUUACCCCUACUCCAAUGCAAGUGUCUCUGAACAUUACAGCUCUACCUUUUCAUCACAUACCUGAUACUCCACUUGAAUGGCAGGGUCCCAAUUUUCCUUAAAGUUUGAAAAGUUCUGUUAAAGACUAAUAAAAUGACAUCUAAAUUUACGCUACAUUUUUUGUUUCAUCUUGUUUUUAUUCUUUGUAAAUACACUAAAUUAAAAUACACACUGGAAAGAUCAAUGCUGAA